rnacentral:SRP_RNA from 2 species
GCCGGGCAUGGUGGUGCAUGCCUGAGAUCCCAGCUACUCGGGAGGCUGAGGUGGAAGGAUUGCUUGAGCCCGGGAGCUCAAGGUUGCAGUUAGCUAUGACUGCCUGUGAACAGCCACUGCACUCCAGCCUGGGCAACAUAGCAAGACUCCACCUCUU